rnacentral:rRNA from 1 species
AUUGAACGCUGGCGGCAUGCUUUACACAUGCAAGUCGAACGGUAACAGGCCGCAAGGUGCUGACGAGUGGCGAACGGGUGAGUAAUGCAUCGGAACGUGCCCAGUCGUGGGGGAUAACUGCUCGAAAGAGCAGCUAAUACCGCAUACGAUCUAUGGAUGAAAGCGGGGGACCGUAAGGCCUCGCGCGAUUGGAGCGGCCGAUGUCAGAUUAGGUAGUUGGUGGGGUAAAGGCUCACCAAGCCAACGAUCUGUAGCUGGUCUGAGAGGACGACCAGCCACACUGGGACUGAGACACGGCCCAGACUCCGACGGGAGGCAGCAGUGGGGAAUUCUGGACAAUGGGGGCAACCCUGAUCCAGCAAUGCCGCGUGCAGGAAGAAGGCCUUCGGGUUGUAAACUGCUUUUGUACGGAACGAAACGGUCUGGGUUAAUACCCUGGGCUAAUGACGGUACCGUAAGAAUAAGCACCGGCUAACUACGUGCCAGCCGCCGCAGUAAUAC